GGGAAUUUUGGACAAUGGGCGAAAGCCUGAUCCAGCAAUGCCGCGUGAGUGAAGAAGGCCUUCGGGUUGUAAAGCUCUUUUGUCAGGGAAGAAACGGUGAGGGCUAAUAUCCCUUGCUAAUGACGGUACCUGAAGAAUAAGCACCGGCUAACUACGUGCCAGCAGCCGCGGUAAUACGUAGGGUGCAAGCGUUAAUCGGAAUUACUGGGCGUAAAGCGUGCGCAGGCGGUUUUGUAAGUCUGUCGUGAAAUCCCCGGGCUCAACCUGGGAAUUGCGAUGGAGACUGCAAGGCUAGAAUCUGGCAGAGGGGGGUAGAAUUCCACGUGUAGCAGUGAAAUGCGUAGAGAUGUGGAGGAACACCGAUGGCGAAGGCAGCCCCCUGGGUCAAGAUUGACGCUCAUGCACGAAAGCGUGGGGAGCAAA
rnacentral:rRNA from 1 species